CAGUUCGAAUCGGAGUCUGCAACCCGACUCCGUGAAGCUGGAUUCGCUAGUAAUCGCGCAUCAGCCAUGGCGCGGUGAAUACGUUCCCGGGCCUUGUACACACCGCCCGUCAAGCCAUGGGAGCCGGGGGUGCUUGAAGUGCGUCGCCGUGAGGCGCGCCCUAGAGCAAAACCGGUGACUGGGGCUAAGUCGUAACAAGGUACC
rnacentral:rRNA from 1 species